rnacentral:rRNA from 1 species
GGCCCAGACUCCUACGGGAGGCAGCAGUAGGGAAUCUUCCGCAAUGGACGAAAGUCUGACGGAGCAACGCCGCGUGAGUGAGGAAGGUCUUCGGAUCGUAAAGCUCUGUUGCCAGGGAAGAAUCCCCUGGGGAGUCACUGCCCCGGGGUUGACGGUACCUGAGAAGAAAGCCCCGGCUAACUACGUGCCAGCAGCCGCGGUAAUACGUAGGGGGCGAGCGUUGUCCGGAAUUAUUGGGCGUAAAGCGCGCGCAGGCGGUUUUGUAAGUCCGAUUGUUUAAACCCGGGGCUCAAC